rnacentral:rRNA from 1 species
AGUGAACGCUGGCGGUAGGCCUAACACAUGCAAGUCGAACGGCAGCACAGUAAGAGCUUGCUCUUACGGGUGGCGAGUGGCGGACGGGUGAGGAAUACAUCGGAAUCUACUUUUUCGUGGGGGAUAACGUAGGGAAACUUACGCUAAUACCGCAUACGACCUACGGGUGAAAGCAGGGGAUCUUCGGACCUUGCGCGAUUGAAUGAGCCGAUGUCGGAUUAGCUAGUUGGCGGGGUAAAGGCCCACCAAGGCGACGAUCCGUAGCUGGUCUGAGAGGAUGAUCAGCCACACUGGAACUGAGACACGGUCCAGACUCCUACGGGAGGCAGCAGUGGGGAAUAUUGGACAAAGGGCGCAAGCCUGAUCCAGCCAUACCGCGUGGGUGAAGAAGGCCUCCGGGUUGUAAAGCCCUUUUGUUGGGAAAGAAAAGCAGCAGGUUAAUACCCCGCCGUUCUGACGGUACCCAAAGAAUAAGCACCGGCUAACUUCGUG